UUUCAAUUCAAUGUUGUAAGCAAUUUGGACACGACAACAGCAGUACGACAUUUUUCAUUGGUGUUAUUUCACAUCGUGUUUUCCCAGCUUUGCAGUUAUGAGUAAUUGGACGUUUUAUUUUAACAUUUGAUCGUAGGAAUCAAACCUGUGAUCAGUUUUGAUUUUAACCAAUUCAAUUGAAUUUGUGCCUACCUGCAUGGCAUUCAAAAGGAUUAGUUUUUUAAGCCCUCAAAUAAUAAUCGGCCCCAAGUUACUACACAGAGGCACUGGUGUACUAAACUACGACAUACGCUACACCAAGUUAUUCCAGCGAAGCCCCGAAGUACUAUAUGCUGCUCCCAGCUACACCCCUUACUGUUGUCUACUACACCGCAACAGAAGCAAACAAGUAUUACGUAGCUCCGUCUUAUUACACCACAGCUGCUCCAUCUUACUACACCGAGCCCAACUACUACACAACAACCUCGUCACCCCUGCAUUCUACACUGAGGCCCCAAAAUAUUACUCGCCUCCAAGUUACUACACUGAAGCCUACACCUCAUACGCCAAGCCAGACAACUACACCAAUGCUCCACAAAACUAUGCUACUGCCUCUUAUUAUACAACUAAGGCCCGGAGUACUACGCUAUAGAGAAGGCCGAGUACUACACCACUACCUAUGCUGCUCCAGCGCACUACACUGAAGUUCCAAAUUAUACAAUAGACGUUUUUUAGUAGACUAUCACGGCGUGCUGAUGUCAUGCUGUUUGCAACAAACCUCAAAGAAAAGGAUUGCAGCCGAGGUAUCAUCAUAAUAAUUUCGCUGAUGGUUUGGACUUUGGAGUUCAGUUCUUAUCACUGAUAUUAACCAAACUUAAAUCGACUAGAAAACGUAGACGCUUAUCUCUCAUUCUUUUAGUUUCUUUGACUAAGACAGAAAUUUCAGUAACGAGGAAAGAAGAGAAGUUCGUGUAUUAUGUUUCAUGACUUGUACAGUCAAUUCUUUUGCGUUUUUUAGGCAUUUUGCAUCAAAAUAGAAGGCAAUGAAAAUCGGAAAACCGGAGGCAAUGAGCCAGCUGCCAGAGGUAAAGGCUUAUCUUGGGUUUUCUGUAAUUUCAUUUAGAGUUUUCCAUGGUCAACAUUGUUUUCUUUAAAUUUCCUCUCCCUCAAGUUUUCAUGACCUUGCCCUUUUUUUUCAUUAAUUUCUUAAACUUGUUCGAUUUUAUCAGAUGUACAAAGGUAAUAGAAAUUUACCACCUGUGCCGUAUGUCUUUAGAUUCCACUGGAUAUCAUUUUAUUUGAUACCAAAUAGCCCGGACAUUUGAAAAUUGAAUAAAAUUUGUAAUUUGGGGUGUUAUAUCAUGAAGGCGGGGACCAUGAUUUAAAGCUUAUAUCAUUCAUCUGGAUUUGAUCAUGUUCACAGCAAAUGUAUCGGACUGAAUGUAUUAGAAGCUGAUAAAAACCCGCUUGGUCUAUGUCAAGUAAUUUCUCUAAAUACGAACGACCCAUUUUGCAGGAGCGUGAACAAUUGGCACUCAAAUACACCACAAGUGAUUGUCUUGUAAAUAAUGAUGUCACUCUUUAACAAACCCGUCAACAAUACCACCGAAGGUCUACCGAGAAACGAAAGGAACCUAAGUAUUACUCAGCUGUCAGCUACCAAACUGAAGCCCCAAAGUACUAUUGAUAGCCCUGUGAUUUUAAUUAGCUCGUUAACAAAAAUAAUGCUUCACUGUUUAAUGUAAAGUUCUACCGAAGGCGUUAUUGAUCAUCAUAAUAAUUUUGCUUCAGCUUUAUUUAUGUUCUUGACUAGAAUCACUUCCGAUUUGGAAUGUGGUAUACUAGCUCAUUUGUCUAUAACAAAUGUUGCCGUUAAUCAACUUCUAAUUACGUUGUUUGUACUCAACACAUCAAUCAAUCGUUUCACAUUCGCUAAUCAAUAAGAGUUUAGUUUUGCUAGUCUGAUAUUUUGAGCGAGUUAUUUCAAAAGAUUAAACGAAAUACCUCAGCGGAGGAAAUGCAGCUUCUGAACAUUUUCAUUUCACGCGUUUGUGAAAUGUUAAUUGAUUAAGAAAAUUGAUUGCAUAAUAAUCAACGACGCAUCACAUUUCACACCUACGCCCGCUUGAAAUCAUCACGUUUUCUGCACCCACUUGUUACAUCAAAGGUACAGCUCACUCCAUAACGCGGUAGGCAAAGUUUUAAAGGACAACACGAGGUGCUCUCAAUCUACUAAAUCAAGCCCAACUUACAGCACUGAAACUACAUCUUAAUGUGCCUGUAGUCAACACAUUGGAGUUUAUUCGCACAUUUUUCGUUUCAAACGAUCGAUAUAGUCUUUGCACUUUACUAACUCGUACCCUAGCUUUUCCCUGCAUAGUUACUCUGUCAUGUUUAAUAGUUAAUUUCACGUGAAAGUGUAAUAAAACCGGCUUUAAAAACGCAA